rnacentral:rRNA from 1 species
GAUGAACGCUGGCGGCGUGCCUAAUACAUGCAAGUAGAACGCUGAAGGAGGAGCUUGCUCUUCUGGAUGAGUUGCGAACGGGUGAGUAACGCGUAGGUAACCUGCCUGGUAGCGGGGGAUAACUAUUGGAAACGAUAGCUAAUACCGCAUGACAACAGUUAUUGCAUGAUAACUGUUUAAAAGGGGCAACUGCUCCACUACCAGAUGGACCUGCGUUGUAUUAGCUAGUUGGUGAGGUAACGGCUCACCAAGGCGACGAUACAUAGCCGACCUGAGAGGGUGAUCGGCCACACUGGGACUGAGACACGGCCCAGAAUCCUACGGGAGGCAGCAGUAGGGAAUCUUCGGCAAUGGACGGAAGUCUGACCGAGCAACGCCGCGUGAGUGAAGAAGGUUUUCGGAUCGUAAAGCUCUGUUGUAAGAGAAGAACGAGUGUGAGAGUGGAAAGUUCACACUGUGACGGUAUCUUACCAGAAAGGGACGGCUAACUACGUG